rnacentral:rRNA from 1 species
AUUGAACGCUGGCGGCAUGCCUUACACAUGCAAGUCGAACGGCAGCACGGAGCUUGCUCUGGUGGCGAGUGGCGAACGGGUGAGUAAUAUAUCGGAACGUACCCUAGAGUGGGGGAUAACGUAGCGAAAGUUACGCUAAUACCGCAUACGAUCUAAGGAUGAAAGUGGGGGAUCGCAAGACCUCAUGCUCGUGGAGCGGCCGAUAUCUGAUUAGCUAGUUGGUAGGGUAAAAGCCUACCAAGGCAUCGAUCAGUAGCUGGUCUGAGAGGACGACCAGCCACACUGGAACUGAGACACGGUCCAGACUCCUACGGGAGGCAGCAGUGGGGAAUUUUGGACAAUGGGCGAAAGCCUGAUCCAGCAAUGCCGCGUGAGUGAAGAAGGCCUUCGGGUUGUAAAGCUCUUUUGUCAGGGAAGAAACGGUGGGAGCUAAUAUCUCUUGCUAAUGACGGUACCUGAAGAAUAAGCACCGGCUAACUACGUGCCAGCAGCCGCGGUAAUACGUAGGGUGCAAGCGUUAAUCGGAAUUACUGGGCGUAAAGCGUGCGCAGGCGGUUUUGUAAGUCUGAUGUGAAAUCCCCGGGCUCAACCUGGGAAUUGCAUUGGAGACUGCAAGGCUAGAAUCUGGCAGAGGGGGGUAGAAUUCCACGUGUAGCAGUGAAAUGCGCAGAUAUGUGGAGGAACACCGAUGGCGAAGGCAGCCCCCUGGGUCAAGAUUGACGCUCAUGCACGAAAGCGUGGGGAGCAAACAGGAUUAGAUACCCUGGUAGUCCACGCCCUAAACGAUGUCUACUAGUUGUCGGGUCUUAAUUGACUUGGUAACGCAGCUAACGCGUGAAGUAGACCGCCUGGGGAGUACGGUCGCAAGAUUAAAACUCAAAGGAAUUGACGGGGACCCGCACAAGCGGUGGAUGAUGUGGAUUAAUUCGAUGCAACGCGAAAAACCUUACCUACCCUUGACAUGGCUGGAAUCCUUGAGAGAUCAGGGAGUGCUCGAAAGAGAACCAGUACACAGGUGCUGCAUGGCUGUCGUCAGCUCGUGUCGUGAGAUGUUGGGUUAAGUCCCGCAACGAGCGCAACCCUUGUCAUUAGUUGCUACGAAAGGGCACUCUAAUGAGACUGCCGGUGACAAACCGGAGGAAGGUGGGGAUGACGUCAAGUCCUCAUGGCCCUUAUGGGUAGGGCUUCACACGUCAUACAAUGGUACAUACAGAGCGCCGCCAACCCGCGAGGGGGAGCUAAUCGCAGAAAGUGUAUCGUAGUCCGGAUUGUAGUCUGCAACUCGACUGCAUGAAGUUGGAAUCGCUAGUAAUCGCGGAUCAGCAUGUCGCGGUGAAUACGUUCCCGGGUCU